rnacentral:rRNA from 1 species
AGUGAACGUUGGCAGUGCGUUUUAAGCAUGCAAGUUGUACGGCAGCAGUAGAUAUAUCUUUCGGGGUAUAUCUAGCUGGCGAGUAGCGGACUGGUGAGUAACGCGUAAGGACCUACCCUGAGGAGGGGGAUAGCCUGUGGAAACACAGGGUAAUACUCCAUAAUCUCGAGAGAGGAAAGCCAUUAUUGGUGCCUUAGGAUGGACUUGCGUCCUAUCAGCUAGUUGGUGAGGUAAAGGCUCACCAAGGCUAAGACGGGUAGCCGGCCUGAGAGGGUGAUCGGCCACACUGGGACUGAGAUACGGCCCAGACUCCUACGGGAGGCAGCAGCUAAGAAUCUUCCGCAAUGGGGGAGACCCUGACGGAGCGACACUGCGUACGGGAUGAAGGCCCUAUGGGUUGUAAACCGUUUUUGCCAGGGGCGAAUAAUCUUUAAGAGAUGACGGUACCUGGCGAAUAAGUCCCGGCUAACUACGUGCCAGCAGCCGCGGUAAUACGUAGGGGGCGAACGUUACUCGGAAUCACUGGGCGUAAAGGGCCUGUAGGCGGCUUUACAAGUCAGCUGUAAAAGACUGAUGCUCAACGUCAGAGUUGCGGCUGAUACUGUAGAGCUAGAGUACGGGAGGGGGUGAUGGAAUUCCCGGUGUAGGGGUGAAAUCUGUAGAUAUCGGGAAGAAUACCGACGGCGAAGGCAAUCACCUGGCCUGAUACUGACGCUGAGAGGCGAAAGCUAGGGGAGCGAACGGGAUUAGAUACCCCGGUAGUCCUAGCUGUAAACGAUGUAUGCUAGUCAUAGGGACCCGAGAGGUUUUUGUGACGCAGCCAACGCGUUAAGCAUACCGCCUGGGGAGUAUGCCCGCAAGGGUGAAACUCAAAGGAAUUGACGGGGGCCGGCACAAGCGGUGGAGCAUGUGGUUUAAUUCGAUGAUACGCGAAGAACCUUACCAGGGCUUGACAUGUGCCUUACAGUUAGGAGAAAUCCUAAUGCCUUUCGGGGGUGGCACACAGGUGCUGCAUGGCUGUCGUCAGCUCGUGUCGUGAGAUGUUGGGUUAAGUCCCGCAACGAGCGCAACCCUUAUUCUUAGUUGCCAUCAGGUUAAGCUGGGCACUCUAAGGAGACUGCCGGUGACAAACCGGAGGAAGGUGGGGAUGACGUCAAGUCAUCAUGGCCCUUAUGUCCUGGGCUACACACGUGCUACAAUGGGCGUUACAGAGGGUAGCGAAGCCGCGAGGUGUAGCGAAUCUCAGAAAGGCGUCCUUAAGUUCGGAUUGCAGUCUGCAACUCGACUGCAUGAAGGUGGAAUCGCUAGUAAUCGCAGAUCAGCAAUGCUGCGGUGAAUACGUUCCCCGGCCUUGUACACACCGCCCGUCACACCACCCGAAUUGGUUUUACCCGAAGAUGCUGGAGCCAACCAGUAAUGGAGGCAGGUGUCUAAGGUAGGGCCAGUGAGGGGGGUG